GAUGAACGCUGGCGGCGUGCCUAAUACAUGCAAGUCGAGCGAACGGACGAGAAGCUUGCUUCUCUGACGUUAGCGGCGGACGGGUGAGUAACACGUGGAUAACCUACCUAUAAGACUGGGAUAACUUCGGGAAACCGGAGCUAAUACCGGAUAAUAUUUUGAACCGCAUGGUUCAAAAGUGAAAGACGGUCUUUCUGUCACUUAUAGAUGGAUCCGCGCUGCAUUAGCUAGUUGGUAAGGUAACGGCUUACCAAGGCAACGAUGCAUAGCCGACCUGAGAGGGUGGUCGGCCAGACUGGAACGGAGACACGGUCCACACUCCUACGGGAGGCAACAGUAGGGAAUCUUCCGCAAUGGGCGAAAGCCUGACGGAGCAACGCCGCGUGAGUGAUGACGGUCUUCGGAUCGUAAAACUCUGUUAUUAGGGAAGAACAUAUGUGUACGUAACUGUGCACGUCUUGACGGUACCUAAUCAGAAAGCCACGGCUAACUACGUG
rnacentral:rRNA from 1 species